rnacentral:rRNA from 1 species
CUCCCCCAUCCAAUCAGUGAAACUGAUCUUCCCGUGAAGAAGCGGGAAUCAAAAUAUAAGACGAGAAGACCCCAUGGAGCUUCAAACUAAGUACCACCCACCACCCAAAUAAACCACCACAACCCACUGGAACUGGUUACUUGUUUUUGGUUGGGGUGACCACGGAGCAAAACACAACCUCCGCAAUGAACGGGACUAACCCCCUAACUUAAGACCCACAACUCAAUAAAUCAGAAUACUAACAUAAUUGACCCAAGCACAUUGAACAAUGAACCUAGUUACCCUGGGGAUAACAGCGCAAUCCAUUUAAAGAGCCCCUAUCGACAAAUGGGUUUACGACCUCGAUGUUGGAUCAGGGUAUCCCAGUGGUGCAGCCGCUACUAAAGGUUCGUUUGUUCAACGAUUAAAACCCUA